GACGAACGCUGGCGGCGUGCUUAACACAUGCAAGUCGAACGGGGUCCAUGAGAGCUUGCUCUCGGAAGACCUAGUGGCGAACGGGUGAGUAACACGUGAGAAACCUGCCUCGGAGUGGGGAAUAACUCGAGGAAACUCGAGCUAAUACCGCAUACCUUCAUUUGACCGCAUGGUCAGUUGAAGAAAGAUUUAUCGCUCUGAGAGGGUCUCGCGGCCUAUCAGCUUGUUGGUGGGGUAACGGCCUACCAAGGCAACGACGGGUAGCUGGAUUGAGAGAUCGACCAGCCACACUGGAACUGAGACACGGUCCAGACUCCUACGGGAGGCAGCAGUGGGGAAUCUUGCGCAAUGGGCGAAAGCCUGACGCAGCAACGCCGCGUGCGGGAUGAAGGCCUUCGUGGUUGUAACCGCUUUCAGUAGGGACGAAAAUGACGGUACCUGCAGAAGAAGACUCCGGCUAACUACGUGCCAGCAGCCGCGGUAAUAGUACU
rnacentral:rRNA from 1 species